CAGAACUUCCAUUAAUCUCAUAAUAUUUUCUUCAUCAUCACAAUCUAAAUUAAAAUCACCCAAAAAAGAAACCCUAAAAUAAGUGAAAAAUCGAACAUCUCAUUGAGUAACCAGAAACCUAAUCCUACUCUCUCGUCCCAAGGAUGGUUACAAGAGGAAAUAAACCAACAUUAUUAGUCCUAUAUCAUAUACGAAAUCCCUUAAAGUUCAUAUUACCUUAGCCUUCCUUAAUCUUCUGCAGCAAUGGAGUGAAGUCGUGGUAAGAAGAAUUUUUACAAGAAAAAUGGUCAAAAGAUUCACUAACCACUUCAGGAAAGAGCUUUAACAACUUCCCCAAACCCAGCACACCAAAUUUUUCUUCAUCACUUUCAAGUACUUUCAAGGUUUCUCAGAAAAUUGGCAACACAUGUUGUCGAGAACCCGAAUUCCUCCGACGCCUUCCGUAGGAUGUCAACGAAAAUUGACAAGUUUUAGAACCGAGUCGGGAAAACGAACCGACGGCGUUCUAGGCCCACGCAGACGGCCAAUGAGCUUGAAGGGAUCCGGUUUGAACAGGUCGGUUCGUCAAAAUAUGAGGAAAAUUGGUAGUGUGUAGUCCACCAUCUCAGGCUGGCUGUUGCUUUUCCAGCACAGACGACUUGUCUCAGCCUUACAAUUUAAGUGAUGACAUUGCUGUGACCGUGAUUUUGGGUUUUGAAGCUGAGGCUGCUGAGCUCUUUUCAAUUAGAGAGAGAGAGAGAGA
rnacentral:lncRNA from 1 species